UUAAGUGACUAAGCGUACACGGUGGAUGCCUGGGCAGUCAGAGGCGAUGAAGGACGUACUAACUUGCGAUAAGCGCAGAUAAGGCAGUAAGAGCCGUUUGAGUCUGCGAUUUCCGAAUGGGGAAACCCAACUGCAUAAGCAGUUACUGUUAACUGAAUACAUAGGUUAACAGAGCAAACCGGGGGAACUGAAACAUCUAAGUACCCCGAGGAGAAGAAAUCAACCGAGAUUCCGGUAGUAGCGGCGAGCGAACCUGGAUUAGCCCUUAAGCACUCGGUGAAGUAGGUGAACAAGCUGGAAAGCUUGGCGAUACAGGGUGAUAGCCCCGUAACCGACGCUUCAUCGAGCGUGAAAUCGAGUAGGGCGGGACACGUGAUAUCCUGUCUGAAUAUGGGGGGACCAUCCUCCAAGGCUAAAUACUCCUGACUGACCGAUAGUGAACCAGUACCGUGAGGGAAAGGCGAAAAGAACCCCUGUGAGGGGAGUGAAAUAGAACCUGAAACCGUGUACGUACAAGCAGUAGGAGCACCUUCGUGGUGUGACUGCGUACCUUUUGUAUAAUGGGUCAGCGACUUAUAUUCAGUGGCAAGGUUAACCGUAUAGGGGAGCCGUAGCGAAAGCGAGUCUUAACUGGGCGCUCAGUCUCUGGAUAUAGACCCGAAACCGGGUGAUCUAGCCAUGGGCAGGUUGAAGGUUGAGUAACAUCAACUGGAGGACCGAACCGACUAAUGUUGAAAAAUUAGCGGAUGACUUGUGGCUAGGGGUGAAAGGCCAAUCAAACUCGGAGAUAGCUGGUUCUCCCCGAAAGCUAUUUAGGUAGCGCCUCGGACGAAUACUACUGGGGGUAGAGCACUGUUAAGGCUAGGGGGUCAUCCCGACUUACCAACCCUUUGCAAACUCCGAAUACCAGUAAGUACUAUCCGGGAGACACACGGCGGGUGCUAACGUCCGUCGUGGAGAGGGAAACAACCCAGACCGCCAGCUAAGGUCCCAAAGUAUUGCUAAGUGGGAAACGAUGUGGGAAGGCUCAGACAGCUAGGAUGUUGGCUUAGAAGCAGCCAUCAUUUAAAGAAAGCGUAAUAGCUCACUAGUCGAGUCGGCCUGCGCGGAAGAUGUAACGGGGCUAAGCAAUACACCGAAGCUGCGGCAAUGUCUUUUAGAUAUUGGGUAGGGGAGCGUUCUGUAAGCCGUUGAAGGUGAAUCGUAAGGUUUGCUGGAGGUAUCAGAAGUGCGAAUGCUGACAUGAGUAACGACAAAGGGGGUGAAAAACCUCCUCGCCGGAAGACCAAGGGUUCCUGUCCAACGUUAAUCGGGGCAGGGUGAGUCGACCCCUAAGGUGAGGCCGAAAGGCGUAAUCGAUGGGAAACGGGUUAAUAUUCCCGUACUUCUGACUAUUGCGAUGGGGGGACGGAGAAGGCUAGGUGGGCCAGGCGACGGUUGUCCUGGUUCAAGUGCGUAGGCUUGAGGGUUAGGUAAAUCCGGCUCUCUCUAAGGCUGAGACACGACGUCGAGCUGCUACGGCAG
rnacentral:rRNA from 2 species